rnacentral:lncRNA from 1 species
UCUGGAGCAUCAGCUGGAUCCUGGCAUCAAGGCUGUUGGUAUCCAAGGGACUCUGGAGCAUUUCCUGUGGAUCUACCUGUACAUCCAGAAAGAAUUUUCAUCUCUGUCUCUCACAGACAUGCCAUCUUUCUCUUCCAAAGAUCUCUUAAGGCUCCAUUCUCUCCAACCCACCUGCUGUCCUUUCCCUGGGAGGCCUGAGAGUUUAAGUUGCCACACACUCUCAUGUGCUUUAGAGGCUCAGUGAGAGCUCUGACCCAGUCUCCUCCUCCCCUGCUAGAACACACCCCUGUUCUUAUAGGCUAGUAUCAUCAUGUCUCGCUAGCCCUGCAAAGAUGCUCACCCCUCAGCCCAGCACCAGAACCAUCAGCUCAGACUCUGCCAAGGGAUCCCUUGUGCAUCUCGGAUCCUGCCUCGACCUCCAGGCCAUCGACUGCAUAAAUUAUUGAUGUGUAGAAGAUGGCUGGUGGUGUGGUGUGGUCUGCUGUGCUCACAGAGAAAAGGCAUGCUACAAACAGAAGGGGUGAGGAAAUGAUGUUUGGGAAGAUGCUUCCAGAAUAUGGAUCUCUCAUCUGUGCACCCUUUGACUGGUGGAUCUCAGUCAGAGGCAAUUCUGGAUGUCGCGACUGGAGAGGGGACAAUGAACAUCUGUUGAAUAAAGACUAGGCCUACAAUGAGAAUAGCAGUCACCACCCAACAGAGUGACACAGCCCAGUAAGACCAUGGGACGGAGGCUGAGGAAGGCUGGUCUUAGACAUCAAAAUCAGAACCGGUGAGAGACACCAGGAAGCCCACCAGGUCUCGGUUGUGCGUGGACCUUGCCAUCCUCUCUUGCAAGAACUUGCUUUCUUUUAGCUGAGUCCAGCCACCCUUUCGGGUGAAGCUCCUCUCACUUGCUUCCCAAGCUCCAGGGUCUCGGCUGUAAAGUGUGACUCCGUUCCCUCAGCUCCUCUCACUUGCUUCCUGCUGCUUCUGACUGCUCCAGCCUGAAAUGAGCAGCACCAGGACACCCGCGCGUCUGAAACCGUGCAGUGUCCUUGCACGCAGAGUUUUCAUUUCCUUUCAGACACAGGAAAUGGGCCCUCUCAUGCUCUCCGUUUCCACGGCCACAGGUAGAGCCCUUUUCUCCUUCCAGGGCAGCUAUGGGUUUUGACGCAACAUCUGAUUCUUUGAUUUCUGGAACUAGCUCGAGACUUGCCUUUGGAGAGUUAUCUCAAGCCCUCGCUCCCAGCUGGUCUGAGUUAAGUGGGGAAGUUCUUAGCUGGUGGAGCUGUUGUAAUGGCCAAGCGGCCUUUACAAGGCAGGGCUUGAUGGGUGGAAGUAGGUCACCUUUUAGAUCUAGCUGCAGAGUCCUGGUCUAUGGCCAUGUGAAGAACUGAUGCCAUACAGUGCCACCGCCAUGCCAUCCCGCCACAAUGAAAUCUCAAAAACCAUGAACCAAAAUGUCCCUUUCAUCUUGUUUUGAUCAGUUAUUUCCUGUGUGAGGAAAUGUAGCUGUGAUGGGUGAUAUCAACUUGAUAAACUCUAACUCAUCUAGGAGACAAGUCCUGGAUAUGACCAUGAGGAAUUGAUUAUCUGGACUAGGUUAACUGAGCUGAGUGCACCCACACUGAAAGCAGGACACACUGUUGACUGGGCUGCUGAACACUACCGUUCCUCUUUCCCUGCCUCCUGACUGUGGAUUCAAUGUGACCGACUGCCUCAAGACCCUACAGCCUUGACUCCUCUGUCCUGAUCAGUUAUACCCUCUAACUGUGACCUGAGAUAAACCCUU